UACGUAGGGGGCAAGCGUUGUCCGGAAUCAUUGGGCGUAAAGCGCGUGUAGGCGGCUCGGUAAGUCUGCUGUGAAAGUCCAGGGCUCAACCCUGGAAUGCCGGUGGAAACUGUCGAGCUAGAGUCCGGAAGAGGCGAGUGGAAUUCCUGGUGUAGCGGUGAAAUGCGCAGAUAUCAGGAGGAACACCAAUGGCGAAGGCAGCUCGCUGGGACGGUACUGACGCUGGAGACGCGAAAGCGUGGGGAGCAAACAGG
rnacentral:rRNA from 1 species